rnacentral:rRNA from 1 species
GACGAACCGUGCGAACGUUGUUCGGAAUUACUGGGCGUAAAGGGCGCGUAGGCGGCGAACCAAGUCAGAUGUGAAAGUCCUGGGCUUAACCUGGGGACUGCAUUUGAUACUGGUUUGCUUGAAUUCGGGAGAGGAUAGCGGAAUUCCCAGUGUAGAGGUGAAAUUCGUAGAUAUUGGGAAGAACACCGGUGGCGAAGGCGGCUAUCUGGACCGACAUUGACGCUGAGGCGCGAAAGCGUGGGGAGCAAACAGG